CCUACGGGAGGCUGCAGUGGGGAAUAUUGCACAAUGGGGGAAACCCUGAUGCAGCGACGCCGCGUGAGCGAGGAAGUAUUUCGGUAUGUAAAGCUCUGUCAGCAGGGAAGAAGAAUGACGGUACCUUAAGAAUAAGCACCGGCUAAAUACGUGCCAGCAGCCGCGGUAAUACGUAGGGUGCCAGCGUUAUACGGAUUUAUGGGGAGUAAAGGGAGCGCAGGCGGUUCUGCAAGUCUGAUGUGAAACCCCCGGGGUCAACCGCGGGACUGCAGUUGAAACUGCGGGACUGGAGUGGCGGAGGAGGAGGCGGAAUGCGAGGUGUAGCGGUGAAAUGCGUAGAGAUCAGGAGGAACACCGGUGGCGAAGGCGGCAUACUGGACGAUGACUGACGCUGAGGCUCGAAAGCGUGGGGAGCAAACAGGAUUAGAUACCCUUGUAGUC
rnacentral:rRNA from 1 species